AGCAGUCGCCGCGGUAAAACGGAGGGUGCAAGCGUUAAUCGGAAUUACUGGGCGUAAAGCGUGCGUAGGCGGUUCGUUAAGUCUGUUGUGAAAGCCCCGGGCUCAACCUGGGAAUGGCAAUGGAUACUGGCGAGCUAGAGUGUGUCAGAGGAUGGUGGAAUUCCCGGUGUAGCGGUGAAAUGCGUAGAGAUCGGGAGGAACAUCAGUGGCGAAGGCGGCCAUCUGGGACAACACUGACGCUGAGGCACGAAAGCGUGGGGAGCAAACAGGAUUAGAUACCCCUGUAGUCCCUGUCUCUUAUAC
rnacentral:rRNA from 1 species